rnacentral:rRNA from 1 species
CAGCCGUAAACAAUGUGCGUUAGGUGUGUCGGUAACCACGCGUUACUGAUGCGCCGAAGAGAAAUCGUGAAACGUGCCGCCUGGGAAGUACGGUCGCAAGGCUGAACUUAAGGAUUGGCGGGGGAGCACCACAAGAGGUGGAGGCUGCGGUUCAAUUGGACUCAACGCCGGAAACUCAUCGGGANCGACAGCAGUAUGAUUGCCAGGUUGAUGACCUUGCUUGCAAGCUGAGAGGAGUGCAUGGCGUAGUCGUGU